UGCUGCUUUUCCUCCCACCUAGGGCCAAUCUUCUUUGCCUGCAAGGCUCUCACCCAGCCAGGCUCCUUGGUGUACUCUUGUUCCUGAGAAAAGGUGCUCAGCAUUGUGAACUCUCCUCCCCCUCUGCAGCCAGGGGUCAAGAAUUUCCAGGGAGAAACAUCUGCUGACACUUUUGGGCAUCCACCCUGGAGAGAUCCUCACCCAUGCGGGCAACAGAGUCUUCCUCAGUCACUGCUUCCCACGUUACUGCACAGAAAACAGGAUAAAAUUACAUCAGUCCUCUGCAAGGAAAACAUCUCAUUGAGGUUCCUCCAGCAUGGGUGAAGAGCAGUCCUUCCACCCCAAACGCUGACCUUGGGGGUCAUCCAGAAGACCACCAGUGGAUCCUGGAUUCUCUGCAGACACCUGCUGAGGCUGAGCUGUCAGCUCUGGAUCCCCUGGCAGUUCCAGAGCCCCUGUGUCCAGGAGGAGGAUGCUGGCUGAGCAGGCACAGCUCCAGAUCUCAGGAGGGGGAUAGGAGUGAAGACAAGGUGGAAAAAUAAGGCUCCCAGUGGAUUUUACUGGACCAAGGCUCAGCCAUUACCAAGCUUUCCCAAGCCCGGUGCCCUUGGGAUUGGGAAACCUUCUCUUCCAAGCCAUUUGCACCUGAGGAAAGCAGAAGCCACACUCAGAAAUCAGCAGUGCUACAUCAAGCUGAUGUUGCCAUGGCCAGGAACUGCCUCUAUUAAAGAUGCUUCUGAAGGAGGUGCCGCAGUCUUUCAGCAGAAAGGAGAGGUUGCAAGGGACAAUUCUGUGUAAGGGGGAAAAGGUUCCCCUAAUAACUUACUUCCUGAGUGGAUACAGAGACAGAAGUCUCCAUCUGCCCAAAAGUUCCUGGAGGAGCAAUCCUGUGAAUCAAAAAUGGUCUUUGUUACCGUUUUUCUAAACUAUAGCAGAGCUGGAUCCCUUCAGUUCUACUAUCACUUGCCACUUUCUGCCAAGUUUCAGAAGCUGAAGACAAAAGAGAUUUUAUUUUCCCUCCCUCAGUCCUUGGGUGAGAGCCAUCAGAAAGCAAACAAGGCAGAGUUGUUGACGCAAAAAUUGUCAACACUUGCCAGGUGAGUGUGUUGAAGCUUGGUCAGGUGUGAAGCAGGAUUUGGUGGAGAAGGUGUUUCGUUCUUAGUCCCUGAAGAACACCCACUGCUGGGGGCACUUGGGGCACCGCAAGAUCAGGAGGAUCCAAAGCUGUUGGAGAGUGUCCAGA